UACAUGCAGUUUGUCUUCAAAUAGUAUAAAUCUUUUGCCUUUUUACUAAAGAUUUCCAUGGAGCAGAACAAUUACUUCUUGACAUUAGACCUUUACAGUUUUUAAACACUUGUAGUA
rfam:Cavia porcellus supercont2_42 genomic scaffold, whole genome shotgun sequence.